rnacentral:rRNA from 1 species
GAUGAACGCUGGCGGCGUGCCUAAUACAUGCAAGUCGAGCGAACAGACGAGGAGCUUGCUCCUCUGACGUUAGCGGCGGACGGGUGAGUAACACGUGGAUAACCUACCUAUAAGACUGGGAUAACUUCGGGAAACCGGAGCUAAUACCGGAUAAUAUAUUGAACCGCAUGGUUCAAUAGUGAAAGACGGUUUUGCUGUCACUUAUAGAUGGAUCCGCGCCGCAUUAGCUAGUUGGUAAGGUAACGGCUUACCAAGGCGACGAUGCGUAGCCGACCUGAGAGGGGGAUCGGCCACACUAGAGCUGAGACACGGUCCAGACUCCUACGGGAGGCAGCAGUAGGGAAUCUUCCGCAAUGGGCGAAAGCCUGACGGAGCAACGCCGCGUGAGUGAUGAAGGUCUUCGGAUCGUAAAACUCUGUUAUUAGGGAAGAACAAAUGUGUAAGUAACUAUGCACGUCUUGACGGUACCUAAUCAGAAAGCCACGGCUAACUACGUG